UUGCUUCGGCAGCACGUAUACUGAAAUUGGAACAAUACAGGGAAGAUUAGUGUGCCCUGUGCACAAGGAUGACAUGCAAAUUUGUGAAGCAUUCCAUAUUUUC
rnacentral:snRNA from 1 species